rnacentral:rRNA from 1 species
AUUGAACGCUGGCGGCAUGCUUUACACAUGCAAGUCGAACGGCAGCACGGGUGCUUGCACCUGGUGGCGAGUGGCGGACGGGUGAGUAAUACAUCGGAACGUGUCCAGAAGAGGGGGAUAACGCAUCGAAAGAUGUGCUAAUACCGCAUAUGCUCUGAGGAGGAAAGUAGGGGAUCGAAAGACCUUACGCUUUUGGAGCGGCCGAUGUCUGAUUAGCUAGUUGGUGGGGUAAGGGCCUACCAAGGCGACGAUCAGUAGUUGGUCUGAGAGGACGACCAGCCACACUGGGACUGAGACACGGCCCAGACUCCUACGGGAGGCAGCAGUGGGGAAUUUUGGACAAUGGGCGCAAGCCUGAUCCAGCAAUGCCGCGUGAGUGAAGAAGGCCUCGGUUGUAAGAUCUGUGGGAGGAGAAGAAUAAAGACUGUGAGAGCAGGCC